GGUAAGAUGGCUGAGUAAGUGGUGGGUUGUAGCCCCAUAGACAGAGGUCAAAAUCCUCUUCUUAUCA
rnacentral:tRNA from 1 species